GACAAGGGAGACGAGUGUUAUUCAUCUUUACCAGGUAUAUAGGGUACCUAGACGGUGUACAAGGCUUUAACAGUACCUGAUACACUAGAGUUUGAUAUGUGAGAGGUUGUCAGAAUUGUUGGUGGAGAAAUGAAAUCCUUUGAUACCAGUAAGACGGGUAACGGCGAAGGCAAACCUUUAUGUACAAGUACUUUGUUUAAAGGUCGGAGUAGAAGAAAUUUUUUAUUUUUUAUGUAAUUCUCUUGAUUAUCUAGUAGAUUAUCACCUUUUAUUUAAGUGCUAUAACUGACGUUGAGGGACGAAGGCUCAGGGAGUGAAGAGG
rnacentral:rRNA from 1 species